GGAAUUGCUAGUAAUGGCAGGUCAGCAUACUGCCGUGAAUACGUUCCCGGGCCUUGUACACACCGCCCGUCACACCAUGAGAGUUGGGAAUACCCGAAGCCUGUGAGCUAACUUAUAGAGGCAGCAGUCGAAGGUAGAAUCAAUGAUUGGGGUGAAGUCGUAACAAGGUACC
rnacentral:rRNA from 1 species